rnacentral:rRNA from 1 species
GCAACGAGCGCAACCCUGCAUUCAGUUGCCAUCGGUGAGGCCGGGCACUCUGGAUGGACUGCCGGCGGACAAGCCGGAGGAAGGUGGGGACGACGUCAAGUCAUCAUGGCCCUUAUGUCCAGGGCGACACACGUGCUACAAUGGCCGGCACAGCGGGAAGCAAGGGGCGACUCUGAGCGGAUCCCUUAAAGCCGGUCCCAGUUCGGAUUGCAGUCUGCAACUCGACUGCAUGAAGUUGGAAUCGCUAGUAAUCGUGGAUCAGCCAAGCCGCGGUGAAUACGUUCCCGGGCCUU